AGUGAGUUUUGAGUCGAGUUUCAGUCAGUUCAGUUCCCCUCCGAGGCUCGUCCCGGCGAAACGUGGCGGUCGGAGCGUGUUCUUGCUUGGCGCGGAGUGUCUCAACGAGUGUGUUGUUUGUGUGUGAGUGCGCUAAGGAUCCCUUCUGAAACGUCGGAUUUCGCCUGCGCUGUGCGUGCUGCGUUCUGCGCGCGUACGGCGGUCCGGAGUGGUGUAGUGGUUGUGCAAGUGCGAGGCAGCCCGGCAGGCGCUGCUGGCCGUCUACUUGUUGCUGCGCGGGGCCAGGCCUUCCAGGCUUCCAGGCUGUUGCUGCAGCCAUUCCAGCGGCUGGAGGAGAACGCCGAGCGAGGAUGGCUCGACCGUGAACUUGAAGGCGAAGUGGAUGUUGAAGGCUUCGCCGCUUCGACGGCCGACCAACGCAUUCCCUUGGAUUAAUCUUCGCCUUGCCUCCGCCCCGCCACCCUGUUCUGCGUGCCCAAGCACCGCCGGUCGUCCGUACCCGACGACGAUGUAAGUUCGCCUGGGAGGGCGGACCAUGGAUGCCCUUUAUGCGUGCAUACAGGUGAGUUCCGGCGGCCCCGCUCACCCGCAGUCUCCCUGUCGCUGCUGGGUCGGCAGACCUGACGAGGAAUGAGCCCGGUGGGGCGCAGCUCGCGGGAGCGGGCCAUGCAGGCCGUGGAGUACUACAACACCUCGGUGCUGCGGGCGCGGACGGACGCGGGGUUGGUGGGGCCGGGCAGGCUGGGCC